AUGGUUGAUGUUUUGCUAGCUGAGAGAAGAGUGGAUGAAGCGCUAGAUGCACUAGAUGAAGCGGAGCGAGUUGCUGCAGACCGGACACAAACUCUAACUACAGUUGAAAUUUCGGCUUUGAGAAGUGUCGUCUCUGAUAAUCGUCAAAAGCUGACAGACCAGCUUGCUGAAGCUGCUUGUCAGUCUUCUACUCAUGGCAUUGAGCUCCGUGCUGCCACUUCUGCUCUAAAAAGGCUUGGUGAUGGCCCUCGAGCUCACAGUGUGUUACUCAGUGCACAUAAUCAAAGGCUUCAAUGUAAUUUGCAAACUAUACAUCCUUCAAGCACUUCAUAUGGUGGGGCAUACACUGCUGCACUUGCUCAACAAGUUUUUUCAGUUGUAGCUCAGGCGCUCAGUGAUUCUGUGGAAGUUUUUGGUGAUGAGUCAUGUUAUGCAUCUGAGCUGGUUACAUGGGCUACCCAGCAGGUCUUGUCCUUUGCACUCCUGGUAAAGAGGCAUGUGUUGUCUUCUUGUGCAGCCGCUGGAGGCUUGAGAGCAGCUGCAGAAUGUGUUCGAAUAUCAAUUGGCCAUUGUUCCUUGCUGGAAGCUCGUGGUCUAUCUGUUUCUGCUGUCCUCCUGAAGCAGCUCAAGCCCAGUCUUGAGCAAGCAUUAGAUGCUAACUUGAGGAGAAUCGAAGAGAGUCCUGCUGCUUGCUGCAGCUGA
rnacentral:rRNA from 1 species